rnacentral:siRNA from 1 species
GUUGAGCAAAUUGGUCAAAUCACC